GAUAACUUGUCCGAGAGGUUAAGGAGCUGGACUGCUAAUCCAGUGGGCUCUGCCCGCGUAGGUUCGAAUCCUGCAGUUAUCG
rnacentral:tRNA from 1 species